rnacentral:rRNA from 1 species
AGCGAACGCUGGCGGCAGGCUUAACACAUGCAAGUCGAACGGGCGUAGCAAUGCGUCAGUGGCAGACGGGUGAGUAACGCGUGGGAACGUACCUUUUGGUUCGGAACAACCCAGGGAAACUUGGGCUAAUACCGGAUAAGCCCUUACGGGGAAAGAUUUAUCGCCGAAAGAUCGGCCCGCGUCUGAUUAGCUAGUUGGUGUGGUAACGGCGCACCAAGGCGACGAUCAGUAGCUGGUCNGAGAGGAUGAUCAGCCACAUUGGGACUGAGACACGGCCCAAACUCCUACGGGAGGCAGCAGUCGGGAAUUUUGGGCAAUGGGCGAAAGCCUGACCAGCAACGCCGCGUGAAGGAUGAAGUAUUUCGGUAU